rnacentral:rRNA from 1 species
AUUGAACGCUGGCGGCAGGCUUAACACAUGCAAGUCGAGCGGAGAUGAGGUGCUUGCACCUUGUCUUAGCGGCGGACGGGUGAGUAAUGCUUAGGAAUCUGCCUAUUAGUGGGGGGCAACAUUCCGAAAGGAAUGCUAAUACCGCAUACGUCCUACGGGAGAAAGCAGGGGAUCUUCGGACCUUGCGCUAAUAGAUGAGCCUAAGUCGGAUUAGCUAGUUGGUGGGGUAAAGGCCUACCAAGGCGACGAUCUGUAGCGGGUCUGAGAGGAUGAUCCGCCACACUGGGACUGAGACACGGCCCAGACUCCUACGGGAGGCAGCAGUGGGGAAUAUUGGACAAUGGGGGGAACCCUGAUCCAGCCAUGCCGCGUGUGUGAAGAAGGCCUUAUGGUUGUAAAGCACUUUAAGCGAGGAGGAGGCUACUGAGACUAAUACCUAGAGAUAGUGGACGUUACUCGCAGAAUAAGCACCGGCUAACUCUGUGCCAGCAGCCGCCGUAAUAC